CAUAUGUUACAUGUAACACCACUUGACAAGAUCACCAUGUUCCGACAACUGUUGUUGAUGCUUUUCCUUCUGGGCGUUGAACAUGCUGAGGGAAAGCCUUGUAAAACCAAAUGUCCCACGGGCAGCACGUGUCUCGAUCUGGGGUUUAUCGAAGUAUGCGCGGCCAGUCUGUCCGGAAAUGAAGGGGGUCCCCCACCUCCACGAACCACCCCACAACCGGAAUGACCCCUGCGUUGUCUGGUGGGCUGAAAUAAAUCUUCAAUAAACGAAGAUAACGC